rnacentral:lncRNA from 1 species
AUUAUCAGUGAGAAUGUCCUCACAGGGUUACAGACAGACUAUGUACUACUAAUCCUAGUGUGGCUCUUAGGUUAGAACUCACCCCAAUGCCUCCACCGUAAGCUACACUAAAAUAUUACAUACUCUUCUUUUCUUCAUUUAGAGGACCAUCCUACCUCCACCUCCUCAAAGGAUACUGAUGUGCAACAGAAGGUGUUCAUGGAGAUCGUUAUUGAAGCACCACCAUUCAUAGUAGAGGAGCUUCCAAAAUUCAACGUUGGCCAAAGGAAGCAAGGAGCCUCGCACCCCUGUAGUCAAAGGCGAGUUCACCUGGUCCAGCCCUAG